UGUUUAAUUGCAGUGAUUUUUCUAGCAGACAGUAUUUUACAAGCUGCAGAAAUACCUGAAAGGUUUGAGUGGAUGCCAGCAGCCCAAGAAGCCUGAAGCAAGCGUGUAUGCUGAAACAGGGACUUCAGAGAAGAUUUACAGUUUAUAGAUCAAAAAAUCAAAACCCAAACCAGAACAUGCUACAGCGGCAUCUUCUUUCCAAGUAGCCAAAUAAAGGUGUUAGUGAUAGAGGAUUGUGUUCAUGGAGAUAGACUGUGCAAGAAGUUGAUGCUAUGUGUAGACUGCAGUCAUAGUACAGCAAGAUAAACACAACCAAGGUAAUACCAUUGAGAACAAUCCUUGUACAUAAGACAGACCAUCUCAUUCAGUGACCAUCCCACUGCAGGGAGGGUGGUGGGAUGACCCAGCGCUGCCCUCACCACCCCAGAUCGAUGGCUGGGGACAGUGGAGGGUUCCCCACCCUCAGGGUGGACAGCAACACAGUGCUGGACACGGAGGCAGGCUUUAGUCCUGGCAUUACACCUCCUGCCCCACUGCUGCACUGGAGUGCCAGCGCUCCUCCCCAGACUCCCCUUCUCUCCCCAUGCUUCUGCUCUGACCUUUACCCCAGCUCCCACCACGCACAUUCUUCUUCAGCAGAGAACACAAGAGCCAUCUCUUCUCCACCUCCUCCCUUUGAGUCUCGAUUGGUUUGUUAACCCUGGCUGCAGUGGAAGGGGCUCAUUCCAUCACAAUCCCUGCAAGGACUAUGCAGCCAGCUGCGCCAGAACAAACAAAAACCACCCAGGGAGCAGACUGCAGCAUGCUGUGAUGGCAGUCGUUCAGUUAAUAGUCUUUCACGUUGACAAACUUGAUGUUUUGUUGAUUUUAUUUUUUCCAUUUAAUUUCCUUGCAGACACCUGUGCAAUGGCCAUGCACCUACCUUGUAGGCGAUCAUCUUAAGAGGUAACCAGCUGUGUUGCAAAUGGACACUGCCUUUCCAUGAGGGAAUGCUGUUUCGGAUGUUAAUG
rnacentral:lncRNA from 1 species